rnacentral:rRNA from 1 species
UGAUCGAAGACUGAACGUUCAGGUGCGAUGCUGGGAGCAAUCAGAUUAGAUAGCCUUGUAGGUCAUGCCGUUAUCGAUGUCGACUGAAGUUGUGCCUUGAGCGUUGCUCCGAGCUACGCGUAGUCGACGCUGGGGAGUACCGGCGCAAGGUAAAACUCAAAUGAAUUGACGGGGGCCCGCACAAGCGGUGGAGCAUGUGGUUUUAAUUCGAUGCAACGCGAAAGAACCUUUACCUGGCCCUUGACAUCCAGAGAAACUUAGCAGAGAUGCUUUGGUGCCUUCGGGAACUCUGAGACAGGUGCUGCAUGGCUGUCGUCAGCUCGUGUUGUGAAAUGUUGGGUUAAGUCCCGCAACGAGCGCAACCCUUAUCCUUUGUUGCCAGCGGCUCGGCCGGGAACUCAAAGGAGACUGCCGGUGAUAAACCGGAGGAAGGUGGGGAUGACGUCAAGUCAUCAUGGCCCUUACGGCCAGGGCUACACACGUGCUACAAUGGCGCAUACAAAGAGAAGCGACCUCGCGAGAGCAAGCGGACCUCAUAAAGUGCGUCGUAGUCCGGAUUGGAGUCUGCAACUCGACUCCAUGAAGUCGGAAUCGCUAGUAAUCGUAGAUCAGAAUGCUACGGUGAAUACGUUCCCGGGCCUUGUACACACCGCCCGUGCACACCAUGGGAGUGGGUUGCAAAAGAAGUAGGUAGCUAAACCUUCGGGAGGGCGCCCACAGAGUGUUACACUACC